rnacentral:rRNA from 1 species
AUUGAACGCUGGCGGCAGGCCUAACACAUGCAAGUCGAGCGGAUGAAGGGAGCUUGCUCCUGGAUUCAGCGGCGGACGGGUGAGUAAUGCCUAGGAAUCUGCCUGGUAGUGGGGGAUAACGUCCGGAAACGGGCGCUAAUACCGCAUACGUCCUGAGGGAGAAAGUGGGGGAUCUUCGGACCUCACGCUAUCAGAUGAGCCUAGGUCGGAUUAGCUAGUUGGUGGGGUAAAGGCCUACCAAGGCGACGAUCCGUAACUGGACUGAGAGGAUGAUCAGUCACACUGGAACUGAGAAACGGUCCAGACUCCUACGGGAGGCAGCAGUGGGGAAUAUUGGACAAUGGGCGAAAGCCUGAUCCAGCCAUGCCGCGUGUGUGAAGAAGGUCUUCGGAUUGUAAAGCACUUUAAGUUGGGAGGAAGGGCAGUAAGUUAAUACCUUGCUGUUUUGACGUUACCAACAGAAUAAGCACCGGCUAACUUCGUG